CGCCGCGUGGGGGAUGACGGCCUUCGGGUUGUAAACCUCUUUCGGCCUUGACGAAGCCUUUCGGGGUGACGGUAGGGGUAGAAGAAGCACCGGCCAACUACGUGCCAGCAGCCGCGGUAAUACGUAGGGUGCGAGCGUUGUCCGGAAUUAUUGGGCGUAAAGAGCUCGUAGGCGGUCUGUCGCGUCGGUCGUGAAAACUUGGGGCUUAACCCUGAGCUUGCGGUCGAUACGGGCAUGACUGGAGUUCGGCAGGGGAGACUGGAAUUCCUGGUGUAGCGGUGAAAUGCGCAGAUAUCAGGAGGAACACCGGUGGCGAAGGCGGGUCUCUGGGCCGAUACUGACGCUGAGGAGCGAAAGCGUGGGGAGCAAACAGGAUUAGAUAC
rnacentral:rRNA from 1 species